AUCUGGUAACGCGCUCAAAGCUAAGGUUAGGAAACCGCGUGGGAGUGGCGUUCUUUUUGAAUUUAACCACGAAACAAGCAAGUUCGGGCAAGAAAGGAGAAGCAUCCGGAAAUUUUCGAGCAACUGCAGCGUAGUUUUACCCGCUGAGGAAUCAUCGUGCUGGUGCAGGACCAGCAGGCAUACAGGAAGAGGGCCACAAGCGGCAAUUUGGUGGUGUACGUACUGCUCAGUCAAGGCAGGGCGCGAUCGUAGAAGCUAGCUAGGUCAGGGGUACCAGCGUGCGAGCUAGACCCCUGGUGGCAGAGAGGCAUAGUGCGAGCAACGCUUGGCCAGAAGAAGAAGAGAAGAGCGGGUCACAGUUGCGGCGCGAAUCUCUCAGUCAGGCCGCCCACGAGGCGGGGCUGAGGGGAGUCAUCAAAACCAAGUAGGAGCUGGAGAUACCGUGAGCUCGACCUGAAGUGAAGCAAUCGGAGCGUUCGCGACGCUUUAAGGGGCGCUCCGCCAGAGAUCCGGAUAGGGUUCGGCCCUAACCUCACAGGAGUCGCCGUAAAGUAGGCGCCAUCCUGGAGCAGUGACGAAGGACGGAGUGCUGGCGGCGCUUUAAGCAGCACCCCGUCGAUCACAGGAGCCGUCGUGUAGUAGGCGCCAUCCUGGAGUAGUGAAGGAAGACAGAGUGCUGGCGGCGCUUUAAGCAGCACCACGCCGAUCGCAGGAGCCGCCGUGCAGUAGGCGUCCUCCUGGAGGAGUAAAAACAAGGACGGAGUGCUGGCGGCGCUUUUAAGGAGCACGCCGUCGAACGGAGGAGUCGCCGCAAAAUAGGCGAGCUCCUAUAGGAGCAGUAGCGGGAGCGGAGCGCUGGCUGCGCUUUAAAGGAGCGUUCCGUUAUCCGGAGGAGCAGGCGUGGACUAGCCUUCAGCCGUAGGAUAAGAAGCAGGGACAGGGCGCUUGCGGCGCUUUCAAGAAGCGCUUUGUCGAUCAGGAGAGCGGAGAGACUCGACCGGCUGAUGGCCUAACGGUGCCGGAAGAGGAGGAGAAGAAGUAGUGGGCGAAGAUUUCGCGUCAGAGCUCUGCCACUGGCUGUAUGAUUUGUUGUUGGCAUUGUUGACGGGUUAGGCAAAGGCCCUCCCGAAUUACAUAUUAUCUUUUCCAGCCUCGAGUAGUGGAAGCGCUUCAACGACUCGUCGCGGAUGUAUUGAGUGAGUAAUCCUAAAUCUAUGCCAAGCCAGCAGAAGUGAUACGGAAUUCUCCGAUCAAUAUUUUCCUCGUUUUCCGAGUUCCAGCCCAAGAGGCUUCACCGGUCAUACAGUCAACCCCACGCGUGGCCUUUGUAGUAGCGCUCUCUUAGUAACUAAAAUCUGUUGUCAUGAUAUUGAACGCGAGUCCGCAAAUCCUGCCAAGUCGAAUAUACACUUAAGUUCUCUAAUCUUUAGCAAUAAGAUAUUAUUAAGCAUAGUCAGAAAAAUCAUACAUUGGAGUAUUAGAAUAGUUAGGAAGCUAGGAUAAGGAUGUCAUCUAGAAUUUUAAGGUCUUUUGUUAAGGAAUAAAACAAUGAAGUUUAUAAUGGAGUAA